rnacentral:piRNA from 1 species
UAGUUUCGUAAUAUGUAGACCUAGAA